CUUACCAAUCAAACUGUCGGAUGUGAUCCAUUGUUAUAAUUUUAUGUGCUUCAAAUGACUAUAGUUUUAUUAUAUUGUUAGUAUUAUUUAUAAGCAAAGAACGUAAAACAUAACAUUGUACUUGGUUUCAUGGUAAUUGGUUGUGAAUUUUGUACCCAUUCGGUCUUCGAUCAACAAUAGUAACUAGAUUUCGGGUCGGUGCAUAAAAUCCGUCUCGUCAAAUAACAGCGCACUUGAAAUGUGAGCUCUUAUUUUGUUUAGUUCACUUCAAACACAGCCAAUGUCAACCCGUCUCACAAUACCGCAGUGUGUAUUCAAAAGUUGCAAAAAUAAGGCCCGAAAAAGCAAUUUAACGGCCGGAGUAUCUUACUUUCGCUUUCCUAGCAAUCACGUGUGCAGAAUGGAUCUCGAUUGUCGCGAGAGAAACAAGAGAUGACUUUUAUAAGCCAGCUAAGAACUCCGCUUAUUGACACUGGACAUCUUUGCCUUCCGUGCUCACGGCUACUGAAAUGUGGCCGAAACAUUGUAAUAAAAAUACCACGCUUGAAACCGUUUAAA